rnacentral:lncRNA from 1 species
CAGCAAGCCAUUUCCUCAUGCUACUGAAUUUGGAAAACCUCUUCUAUCAUCCAGAUAUCAUCCUAGAACCUCUCCUUUUUUUGGGACGUGCCAGAGCAAGGGUGGACAAGUUGUUGACUGUAAAGAGGAGGAGAAAGCAUUUCUCAGCCUUUGCAACAUGGAUUGGAGGGAGAAGAGAGUUUAGGCAACAAAUGAUGACAGGAGCCACAGCACGUUAUCUUUACUUUCCACCAUGUUUGCAAUUCAUGUCUUGAUGUUCCUGAGGACAGCAAGGGAGCAAUCCUUGACUCCUUGGAGCCUUGGGGCAAUGCAGACAGUACCUUACCUCCUGGUGUUCCAGCAGCCUCUGGCACAGGAGUGUGGACCAAGGCAUCAGGGCAAGGUGGUCCCAAGCAGCAUUUUGAAAGCUGACAUAUCACCCCAAAGCCUCAGUGCCUGCUUCAAAUCUGUCACAAUUUUGGGAUAGAGUACAGCUAGAAGGGCUGCUUCUGCUACCUCUACUCAUCCGUGGCAGCCCCAAGAAGACUGUGCAUAUGAAACACUGGAUACCCUCCAAGCUCACAUCUUUCCUGGCAGCAACAGAGUGCUCUGGUAGCAAUUUCUGCACAUCAGGAGAAUGCCCUGAACCCUUCUCUCUCUCAGGUGUGAGCCUGUUCCUGUUUGGACCUAUUAGUGGUAUCACCCAACACCCCCUUGCACUUGUAAUCCAGAUAGGGAAGAGUGAAGAGUAUUUGAUGCAUUUUGCUGCUGCUCUUUCUGAGUGUGUUUUAAUGAGUUUCCAAUGAAGAGAGCAAGGCUCCCAAUGAAUAAGCUUUACAUCCCUAGCUCCCAGAUGAUAUCCUUGUCUGUAUCACCGAAAUUCACCUUCCCCUGCAAACAUGACUGCCCACCCUGUGUCAAUGGCAAGCUGAUGCAACAAGGAGCACACGCCUCCUUAACAGUGACUAUUGCAGAGAAAUGUGAUAUUGCAUCAACAUUUGUCUCCAGGAUGACCACAGAAAUACAUGCACAGCCUUGCUUGGACACGUGUUGUACAGAGAGCAGUGCCACUCAGAACCUUAUACUGGGAUUUGAAAGAGAAGGGGACACCUGGAUCAGUUUUGAAGUGGAGCACAGUGUUACCAAAGAAGAAGUAAAAAUGUUUUGUUUAUAAAAAUAUAGAAUGGCCUGGUUUGAUGGGAUCUGAAAGAUCAUCUCAUUCCAACUCUCCUGCUGAAGGCAGGGACACCUUUCACUAGGUCAGGUUGCUCUGAGUUCAUUUCAACCUGGCCUUGAACACUUCAAG